ensembl:lncRNA novel transcript
CCCAUUGGUGUUUAAUGACCCUUACUGGCCUAUGCAAUGGAAACUGAUAUCAAGAUAACUGCACAUUUUAACCUAUAAAGAAGCCCUAUAAUCUGUCGGGGAGCCACAUGGAGAGCCUUCACAACCCAGAAAAUCUACCUUAAAAGGGUUCUUUUAUUUGGAGCAUUGGAAGGCUACAUGAUACUUCACAAAUGUGCUUGUUAAGCUAAAUUACAAAAAAUAUUAUUCAGUGAGCUAAUGAUGGAAUUCUAAAAUAUAUUGUGGGUUGCAUUUGAUGACUUAUUGGAGUCCCCAAAAUAUUAUUGUAAAGAUAAAUAUUAUAUACAUUGAGCCUCAGCUUCUUGAUAAUAAAUCACC